AUUACGGAGAGUUUGAUCCUGGCUCAGGACGAACGCUGGCGGCGUGCCUAACACAUGCAAGUCGAACGGUUCAGGAGGCAAGAAACGAGAAGCAGGGAGCAAGGAAAGAGAUUGGUUAUUGGCCAAUUUCAAUUAGGAGAAGAGCUGCUUCAUGCGACUGGUUUCUUGUCUCCUGGAUAGUGGCGG
rnacentral:rRNA from 1 species